AUUUUGUCAGAGGCAGUCAAGGAAGACUUUGUAGAGAGUGACCUCUGAGUUGUACUUUAACAGCUGUGUUGGAAAGUUCAGGUGAGAGAGGAAAGGAACGGUGUUCAAGACAGAGGGAACAGCAGCCGCAAAGAUGUGGAAGCUUGAAGACCCCUGAAAACUUUGCUGAGUUUGGGCCACAGGUUACACGGGAGCAAAUGGGGCAGUGUGACAUCCAGGUGGAAAUACCCAAUAGAUGCCUUGGCAAAGUGAACCACGGGCUUCAGAGGAGUCAAGGCUAUAUCAAGGUCAACACCUCAUCCAGUGCUGUGCUGGGGGCAGCUCACACCAGCUCCAGGGAAGCAACUAUUAAAUAUUCUGAAAUUUUGCAAGCCAGUUGUUAACACAGCCAUUAAUAAAAAUUAAAUCAAAAGAAUUAAAUAAAUUAUAUUUUUGAAAAUGU
rnacentral:lncRNA from 1 species